rnacentral:SRP_RNA from 1 species
GCCAGGCAUGGUGGCACGUGCCUGUAAUCCCAGCUACUCAGGAGGCUGAGGCGGGAGAAUUGCUUGAACCCAGGAGGCAGAGGUUGCAGUGAGCCAAGACCGUGCCACUGCAUUCCAGCCUGGGUGACAGAGCGAGACUCUGUCUCAA